rnacentral:rRNA from 1 species
CUUAUUGUGGGUUCGAAGAGUAGGGCGGGACACGUGAUAUCCUGUCUGAAGAUGGGGGGACCAUCCUCCAAGGCUAAAUACUCCUGACUGACCGAUAGUGAACCAGUACCGUGAGGGAAAGGCGAAAAGAACCCCGGCGAGGGGAGUGAAACAGAACCUGAAACCGUGUACGUACAAGCAGUGGGAGCCUUCUUAAUGGGGGUGACUGCGUACCUUUUGUAUAAUGGGUCAGCGACUUAUAUUCUGUAGCAAGGUUAACCGUAUAGGGGAGCCGCAGGGAAACCGAGUCUUAACUGGGCGUUAAGUUGCAGGGUAUAGACCCGAAACCCGGUGAUCUAGCCAUGGGCAGGUUGAAGGUUGGGUAACACUAACUGGAGGACCGAACCGACUAAUGUUGAAAAAUUAGCGGAUGACCUGUGGCUGGGGGUGAAAGGCCAAUCAAACCGGGAGAUAGCUGGUUCUCCCCGAAAGCUAUUUAGGUAGCGCCUCGUGAACUCAUCUUCGGGGGUAGAGCACUGUUUCGGCUAGGGGGCCAUCCCGGCUUACCAACCCGAUGCAAACUGCGAAUACCGAAGAAUGUUAUCACGGGAGACACACGGCGGGUGCUAACGUCCGUCGUGAAGAGGGAAACAACCCAGACCGCCAGCUAAGGUCCCAAAGUCAUGGUUAAGUGGGAAACGAUGUGGGAAGGCACAGACAGCCAGGAUGUUGGCUUAGAAGCAGCCAUCAUUUAAAGAAAGCGUAAUAGCUCACUGGUCGAGUCGGCCUGCGCGGAAGAUGUAACGGGGCUAAACCAUGCACCGAAGCUGCGGCAGCGAC